CAAAAAAAACCCUACGAUCGAUGCCUCGUGCCCACACAGCAGAUCGUUCUCCGCCGCCCUCCCAUCGAUCUGCCGCCGACCCCUGCGGAGCUUCCCUCCCCAAUCCGAUUUGACGGAGAGAGUGCCAGAUCCGGCCGGGGGAGCCGCCGUAGAGCCUCCACGUCGGUGGAGCAGCACCUCCUGCCACGGGCGCCGCCGCCACCUCUUGCCUCACGACCCUUUGCCGCGACUCCGCCCCCAAGCGCCGCUCCCGCACGCAACCUUAACCCUAUCCCGCCAUGCCUCGCUGCCUCGCCGCUUGAGCCGCGCUGAUGGAGCCCGAGCAGUGGUGGCCGACCCCGUCGCCGCCGCCGAGCCUGUGGACGAGGAGAAGGAGAAGGAGGAGGAGACGGAGGCGGCCGAGGACGAGGAGGACACGCUGCUGGACCGCGCGCAGCCUGAUCUCACGGGUCCCUUUGCACAUGUGCAGUUCGUCAAUGGACCAAUGCCUAAUCUCCCCAAGGUUGAUGUUUCACUGGACCCGGUGAAGGAGUUGAGCAGAGUAAUAUCUGAGCGAAAAAAUUGAGGGGCGUGCUUUGGUUGUGCUCUCAGCCAGGUUAUUUUACGAGGGUUGUGUGCACUGAACCCCAUUUCUCUGGACCAAGGGACGAUGAACAAGAUGGGAAUGAGGAGGAUGCUACUAAUCCGGAGUAGUAAUAUUGGAUUACAGGUCAUGGGUUAGUAGUUAACUGCAGAAAUCAGAAUAUUGGAUAGCAGUAACUAAGGCCAUUGGCAAUUUCUAUCAUAUAUCAUAAUUUAUUUGUGUGAUUCCUUUACCAACUACAUGUUUCUAUUUGUUUCCUAUAUUUUGUUUGUUCCUGAAUAUUUUAUGAAUUGUGUAUUUCUAUUUUAAUACAUAAGACUCUUUUUCAUGCAAUUUACUCAAUGGCCUAUAUGAGAAGCCCUAAAUAAAGCUAUUCCUCAUUUGUACGCUUUCUUGCUUAUAUAGAUCAAAAUAUGGAAUUCUCUGCAGGUUAACUAAUACAUGCAUCAACUUUGUAUCAUAAAGAUUUCACCAUCCCAAGGUAAUGGAAAUAAGUUCACAAGAUUCUCAUGUUGAGGUCUGUACAAAGAGAAACAAGGCAAUGUCUGUGUGCUGGAAGGAGAAACUCACUGCCAAAGCUAUAAUCCCUGAUGCUAAAGCCUGCAUGUUCAGAUCUGCAGAGUUUACUCAUAUUACUGUAUGAAUGAUUAAUACAGAGGGAGCCCUUUUGUCAGGUCAUUUAAUCAUUAAAUCAUACGUACAUUAUCUCAGUUCCCAGUUUUGGCUCACUUUCUUGAUGCAUCUCGGAUGAGAGGAAAGGAAUGGAUAAUCUGACAAGCAAUGUUCGGGCAUACCCUUAUAUUUACGUCUGAUGAAAUGCUGCGGGUGAAAACUAAUCAAGACUGCUGCCAUGAGCAAAAGAGCAGAAAUUACUUAUGAGAAAACAAUAAAAGAAUCUUCCGUGACUACAUACCACGACGAGUCAAAGACGAUGAAAGCACUACUCCAUUGGUGGUGUUAGCAAGUGGAGUCUGGAGGGAGAACAACACAAAGUAGGAAAUUGAUUCCCUCGCCCUCGCUUGCUUCAACGACCCCGCUCGUCUUGGUGGGGUCGAUUCCCCCAUCGCCCGACUCAUCUCUGACGAGUAUGGCGUUAGUGGGUACGCCCCGCCGUUCGUAUGCUUGGCGGGUCCCAGAACACCCGUGACGUGUAUGAGCUUGACUAGGGCGAGGGGCUUGUGCUCGUGCUCGAGCUCAACAAGACGCACUUCGAUCUCGUCACCAACUACGAGCUGGACUGUGAGACUCCAGAGCAGGCGGGGGCGACGAAGACGAAAGUGGGGGCAGUUCGAGCUUGUCGCUGCCGGAGACCCUGGAGAGGUGCGCGAAGAGACCUGGUUAGAUUUGUUGGCCACCACUGGUAAACUGCACUAAUAACAAAUCGGAUGUCAUCUGUCAUGUUGCCGAUUCAACCCUGGACGAUGUUGCGCGGCCCGCGGUCAUGGACGAUGUGCUGUUGGACAACGACGCGAGGCCGAGGCAGCCAAUGUGAAUGACCACUGGAAAUCAUUUACCUUUCAAUCUUGGAAGGCCCUAAGCUGAAGGAGAGCAUCAAUUGUCAUGAGAGACAAGCAAUAUCUAUUAGACACGCAUACUAUCAGGCUAACGCAAACCACUCGGGAAUGAAGAACUUACUUCCCAACAAGGAAAGUCCAGUGAUUGGGCAACAACAUGUGGAAGGAUAAUUACUGGAUACUUUUUUUAGCGAACAACUGCGGAGCGAUUUGCUGUCUCAAAACAUGAGACACAAUGAGGUGAAAGAGAUGUGAUGGACAUAGAAGAGUAAACCCAUGAGGACAAAGAGAUGUGAUGCACAUAGAAGGAGGAAGCAAGGACCUCGAUCCACAUUAUUGAAGACAUAGAUAAGAACAAGAGUAUCACACUUCACACAUCAACCAAUCAAUGACACAUGUUGGUAUUGGGGCAUAUCGCCCUCCCUUGCAUUAUACCUGUUAAUAUUAAGAUGAAACACUUAGUUGGAUGCAUUUCUUUUAUAUUGUUCUAUGGCAACACCCGAGCAUUCUGCUAGAGAAGAUGCUCGGGUGUAGACAUAAUCAUAUAUUAUAUUAUUAUCAUUAGUAUCAACAUAUUUGUAAAUGUUUUCAUACUCAAUCUAUGAGGUUAGAUUCAACACGAGAUCUAAAGUUUUGCGUGAAGCCAAAUAUGCAGUGUCAGCAAUACUGUUUGAUAGCUUGGGGGUAUAAUAAUGCGGCAAACGGCCAA